rnacentral:rRNA from 1 species
CGCCGCGGUAAUACGGAGGGUNCAAGCGUUACUNGGAAUCACUGGGCGUAAAGCGCGCGCAGGCGGCNUUUUAAGUUGGAUGUGAAAGCCUAUGGCUCAACCAUAGAACUGCAUCCAAAACUAUUAGGCUAGAGUGUGGGAGAGGAAGAUGGAAUUAGUUGUGUAGGGGUAAAAUCNGUAGAGAUAACUAGGAAUACCAAAAGCGAAGGCANUCUUCUGGAACAUUACUGACGCUGAGGCGCGAAAGCGUGGGGAGCAAACAGGAUUAGAUACCCUGGUAGUCCACGCCCUAAACGAUGAAUGUUAGUCGUCGGGUAGCUAGUCUAUUCGGUGGUGCAGCUAACGCAUUAAACAUUCCGCCUGGGGAGUACGGUCGCAAGAUUAAAACUCAAAGGAAUAGACGGGGACCCGCACAAGUGGUGGAGCAUGUGGUUUAAUUCGAAGAUACGCGAAGAACCUUACCUAGCCUUGACAUAUAUUAGAACUCAGCAGAGAUGCAGAGGUGCCUUCGGGAGCUUUUAUACAGGUGCUGCACGGCUGUCGUCAGCUCGUGUCGUGAGAUGUUGGGUUAAGUCCCGCAACGAGCGCAACCCUCGUCACUAGUUACUAACGGUUCGGCCGAGGACUCUAGUGAGACUGCCUUCGUAAGGAGGAGGAAGGUGAGGACGACGUCAAGUCAUCAUGGCCCUUACGGCUAGGGCAACACACGUGCUACAAUGGCCAGGACAGUGAGACGCAAUACCGCGAGGUGGAGCAAAUCUAUAAACCUGGUCUCAGUUCGGAUUGUAGUCUGCAACUCGACUACAUGAAGCUGGAAUCACUAGUAAUCGUAGAUCAGCUAUGCUACGGUGAAUACGUUCCCGGGUCUUGUACACACCGCCCGUC